CGCGCUGUCGUCGCUGGUGGGCGCGCAGGCGGCGGCGCGCGGCGCGCACAAGCUCUUCUACACGCUGCAGAACACCACGCACAACAAGCAGCUCUUCUAUGUAAGUGUUACAUCACAGAGCACACGCGCACGCUAGCGCUGCAGCAGCUGAGCGAGAGCGUGCUGGACGCGCUGUCGUCGCUGGUGGGCGCGCAGGCGGCGGCGCGCGGCGCGCACAAGCUCUUCUACACGCUGCAGAACACCACGCACAACAAGCAGCUCUUCUAUGAGCUGUUCGAACUGGUACUUCUAGAAGUGUUCCCUGAGCUCAAACGCUAUCAAUAACUCUGUAGGUAAGACUAGCCAUGACAAUAGAUGUAUCAAAGUGUAGUUAUAAUCUUACAGGGAUCAUAUCCAAAGGAGACCCACACCGAAAAUAUACGAUAUUUUACUCUUCAAGAGGCAUUCCUUUAACUUUGAAUAAGUCUUUACCAUGUUGGAUACUUCGAAAUGACUGCACAUAUCUUUUUUAAACGUAUAUCACCAUUUUUGAAACCUCGAUUCCAAUUUUAAACUUUACAGAUCUGAAAAUGUUGCUCUUAAUAUUAUACAUUUUAUGUAACAACGUUAUUUGAAGGACAUAUAAAAACAUGGCCAAAAGUGACUCUCAAAAUGGAACUUUUUUAUUAUCUUUCAAAAAUGUUGCCUCUUUAAUGUUGUUGCAUGUUAAACAAUACAGUUUUGUAAUUAAUCAUGAAUUGCCAGUCUUUAUGGUCAUUUAGAGGUAGAUCAAUGUCUUACGUAUUGGGAUAGUAACUGUAAGUUUAGUAGAUAGAAAUAAUGUAUUGAUCUCAUGUUUUUUCCAUAUACCUCGAUUAACGUAAAGAUAACAUAGCGCUACUGUAUCCCUCUUAUUUCAUAACUAUUUAUACUUUCUGCUUAAUACAUCAACAGCUUUCGAAUGACCAGUGACGUCUGAGGAAAGAAUUUCAGUUUUAACCUGCCUAACAUAUACUCGGAUUUAUUUAUAAAAUUGUAGUUUAGUCUACAUUAAUUAAGCUUACUGCUAAUUGCUAAUUUAUGAUGAUAAAUGUAAAAAAGUUUAUAUUUUUGUGAAUGUUACGUUGUUUAUUAGUGUUGUGCCAAAGAAUGCACGUCUAACGCGGUAAUAUAAGUUCAUGCAUCGAACUAUAAAUGUCUACUUAAAUAAACUUAUGUCGAUGUUUCAAAUCUGUAUCUUUAAAACGUAUUUUAUGUACCUGAAUCUUGGGUCGCUGAAUUUUCUUAAUAUACCCAGUACAGGUACUUGGGUGAUCAAUUCAAAAACAACUUUUUUACAUUAUGUACAUAAUGCCAUUUUUUUAGAAGUAUAUUUAUGAAAAUAUCACAUAAUUGCCAUAUUGUAUUCCAUGUUUAUGGGCAUUCCUUUUAGAACUUAUUUUUUCAGCGACUUGGUUGGAUUACCAUUCCCUGUGUUGUGCAUUCCAUUAUGUGUGAAAAAAAACUUUAUAUUGGUUGUGGUGUUGUAACAAACAUAAUUAGUUAAAUUCAGGUUUCGUUAGGUACUACUAUUCACGUGUUCGAUAGGGAAUCACAUUGAAAACGUCAAUAAAUGCCGUCAUUUUAGAAUUCUACGUGAUGAUCUAGUUUUUCCAAUAUUUCUUUUUUCAAAUAUUGAUACAGAAAAUCUUAAAAAUUACUAUGUUUUAAUUUGUGUCAGGUUCAUGGAUCUGAAAUUUCUAAGUGUGUUUUCAAGGUUGUUUGUUUUCUUUAGCUUCCCUUACAUAUUUAUGGAGCUUUGAAAACCUCCCACUCUUCUAGUCCUACGUUAUUUUUUAUUUAAAUUCCAAUGUACGUAAUCCCAAGUGACAUAAAUGUAGAUAGAUUUAAAAUUAUUAGUAUAGAUAUUAGCAGUUUAAAACUGAUUUUGUGCUAGCAUUAUAUUUUCCAACGCAUAGCAUAAACUAUUUGUUACACACUUGCCGUAGGUUUUCUACUAUUAAAUUUAUACGUUUACUAAUACUAUUACUACCCUUCUUCGGCAGUUGGGUACAAACAGGUCUAAGAUUUUAUACGUUUACUACGUCAAUUCCAGAUUUUUUUGUCUUUGAAUAAUGAUGUAUGUAUGUUGGUAUUUGUACUUUUACAUUCUGAAUGUCAGUGCUAAAGGUUUGAUUAUUUGCUUGAAAAUGCGUAUAAAAGUGUGACCAUAAAGUAUUUAAAAAGUUGUAAGAUUAUAUCGAAUGACAAAAAUAAUUAUGAAUUUAUUGGUAAGUGAUAUGAGUAGGUCUUAUUAAUUUGUAAAUAUUAAUUCAUGACAAAAAAUAAUUUUAAUUAUCGAAUUAUGUUACCAAAAAUAUUUUAGGAUAGAUAAAUUGAAAGUUUGAAUUAAAUAGAUGUGACUUAAAAUCACAUUAAUAAGUGUUGUUCAAAACUUGCUUAUUUUAUUUGCCAUGACAUUAAUUAAUUUAAUUAUUAUCUAUGAUAAACUAAUUUAUAUUUUAGCGUUUUUUUUUAAUAAUGUACCUACUUCAUGUAAAGUAUUAUGUAAAACUGUCUAUUUUUAAUACCUUUUUAUGUGGAGAACUUUGUUUAUCUGACGUCACCCUUUUGAACUGUCACUGUUUUGCCGAUGUCAUAAUGUUGCUAGCUUGUCACCUUUUGUGACACUUCCCAAACUUACCUAAUGUGACAUCAGACAAACAAGGUUCUUCUGUAACCUGUGAACCUAUUGUCUAUAUCUAUUAAGUGUUAUAUUUCAUGUUGUUAACUAAGUGUAACGACGAGUAUGUAUGUAACUGUACUGUUAAUAUGAAAUAAACUAGUACAUGUAUUUUA